GGGUGGACUGCAGCGGUCAUACGGUGAAAAACCUAGCCGGCACGCUCCUUCUCCUCGACCUUCCUCCUCUUCUGCCGCCGCCGCCUCUCCUCCUCUUCUUCUCUCUCCUGUGCCGUCGCCGCUUCUCACCCCCCCCUCUCCACGCUAGCACGGUAGGGUCAUCGGGAUGAGCAGCGGCGGGCAUCUGUCGGUGUGCCGGAGUACAGCGGCGGGCUUCUGUGGUGUGCUGGAGUGCGCGGAUGACGAAAGCAGCGGAGGCAGCGGCCACGACCGUGCCCUCCUCUGCGCUUCCUCUCCAAAUACCCUCGGCUUCCGCACGGUGGAGACGGGUACACGGACUAGGCAGGCCACGGGACGACGGCUGGUCGAGCACCCACCGCAGCGAGGAGAGAUCGAGUACAACUCCCAGUUCAUGGAGGGGAUGCUGAUACAGGCCGAGCAGGCACCGGCAACACAUGAGCAGGAGGAGGAGCCCUUCCCAGGCUCGCGGGCCCGCUGCGAUGAAGCCGCCAGAGGAAGACCUGGACGACGACUGCUAGCCGAGGAGCCCCAAAGAAUUUCCCCAAACUUUCCUGUGCCUCCGCCCCCUCUUGAUUCAGUUGAGGGAGUACUCCUUGCUUCGAGAAGUACUUUUGAUUAAAGCUUCUUCGAUGCCCCAUGAACACUCAGGUUUGCUUUCAAGCUGCGGCGGAUUCUUAAAACGUAUUGUGGUUCAUGAAUUAUUUAGCAAUGAUAAAAUUUUCUCUAUUGUUAUUUGUUCUUAGGAUGUAACAAGUUCCCCAUGUCGAUGUUUAUCUUAGCACAUGACUGAAUAGUUUGACAAUGUUUAUAAUUUAUCACUUUCAAGUCAGCCUUUGUGUGAUUCAAAAAGAACCCACAUACUGUUGCGGGGUACAAAAUUACUUUUUCAGCUGGGUUUGUUCAAUAGGCUGUAAAUUUUGAGCAGAACGAUACAGAUCAACAGUCCAUGUUUAUAUAUACAUGCAUAAGAAUAUGUUGUGCGGCGAGGAUUUGUACAGAUUGGAAAGGGAAUUAACUAACAUCUUCGUAACGGCAGAAUGUUCCGUGAUUCUUCACGUAAGAUACUAAGAUUUGUUGAUGAUGCUUUGUUUGAGGUUCUGUGUACAUUGCACUUCAGUUCAGAACAUGGAGGGCUAAGAUGAUCACCAAUCGAUGACUAUUUCUUGUGUUUAUGGAAAUAGUACCCUGUAAUGAAUACCUUCAGCUACAUAGAUUCCUCAACCAAAGUUCAUGAUGGUUCAAUUUAUUUGAUGUUUUCUUCAGUUUUGGGACGGCAAUCACAGGAGCCAUUGCAUUUUCUUUGUCACAAUGGCAUUAGGUAGUUGUACCUACUGCGGUUGUUACACUAAUAUCUACUUAUUACCUGUUGCUAUAGUUACAAAGCUUCAACAGUUUACUAUAAAUUAGACUGGACUGAUUCCUAGAUAUCAUUGUAUUUUACCCAUAGGAUCAAUUUCCAAUGAGUUGGUGCCUAGGGUCUUGCGGCGAGCACAUUCUCUUUAGCUGCUGCCAUUUAUUCUGCUGCUUUCGUACAGCCUAGCACUCUUCUGUGGUGGGGCAUAUGUUAUUUUGUACCAAUGAUAGAUACAGAAAGUGCAAGACUUCUACUCUCUACUUAAUGAACUGAUUUUGCUUCAGGAUAACUAGCUUGAUUAAUUAGCAUGUUUCUGUGAUCAAUGAAUUACUAAGGUUGUGACCCCAGCUUGGAGGCUUGAGUUCCUUCGGUAGUUCUUUAUUUUACUUAAAUGAUCAUGCACCCUUUACUUAACAUAUGUCCUUUUGUACCUUAGCAAAGCAUUAGUUAGAUAUCUCAAUUUUUCAUGUGGGUCGUAGUCGUUGCUUAGUUAGCAUUAUUGUUUUGUUAGGUGUUAUCAUGUGUCCUGAACCUAUGCAGAUAGGUCUUACUUUGUCUUAGUUAUAGUUAAGAUCAAUGCGUACUGGAACAUUUAAGUAUUUCACCUAUAAUUUUCCAAGAUUGUGGCGAGCAUAUGUUUUCAUCUUACUGCAGGAGAGGUUGGUUUCACAUUGUAUUUGGAAGAAUGAGAUGCCCCAGAUCAAAUAUUAUCAAAAAAGCAGAAGAGCUAGGUGUAUAUAUGCUGAGAUGAUCCGCUCUUACAUUUUUUCUUGACGUGUAAAAGGUGCACUAGCUUGUCUAUGGCCCUCAUUGUUGUUUGGAAACAUUUCUGCUCUUCGCUUCAACAAUGCGCUCCUUUUUUUGUGAAGAGCAAUGCACUCAUUGAUGCUACUUUGUUAACAUGUCUUCGUUGGGUCUUGUUUCUUAUUUUUAUACCUACGGAUUUAGCAAGAGACUUUUUUGCCUCUGUAUUUUCACCAUACUUCCAUUUCAUAUUUUUAUUAGUGCAGUUUCUGAAUUAUUAUCCAGUGCCUUUUGGAGCUCGAGCUCCAUGGGACCCGAUAUUUGUACAUAUUUCAACCUGUUUUUUCUUGGAAGGUAAUCAUACGCUGAUGGGGAGGGUGUACCUAUUUUUUCAUCAAUUUGCCUUCUUUUGCUCUCCUAUUACCAUUCCCCUUUAGACAUAUCUUAUUUGAGAUUGUGCCUUCUUCGCCUUAUGACAUCUUUUUCUUAGCGAGUAAUUCCACCAUCUUUUUUGUUGUUUGGUUCCUAUUUGCUACUUCAGUGGUUUUUCCCUGAUCCUGAGAUUUUGUUAUUUUGUUUCUAUCUGGAGUCUGUAGAAAAAUGAAACCGUUUUACAUUUUAAUUUGCUCUGCAACUAAAGUCAUGUUGGACUCUAGGUGAUGAAGGACUAGCGUUGAGCCUGAGGUGACCUCAGCUCAUUUUUUUCAAUUCUGAUUUAGUUCAGAUUUUGAACCAUGAUUGCGCUACUUCAAAUUUGAUUAUCUUUUUUUGUCUUUCUGUAGUAGUGUUUCGUCUUUUAAAUUGCACUGCUAUUGGUACUUUGAUUCUGCUUCUAACCAUAUACAAGAGCAUCAGUGGGGAGCUAGGCCUACCUCUUAUUUAUGUUCUAUGCAUCUAAAUGCCGCCCUUUUUCAUUUAUACUCUUACAAUUAUCUUGAUGUAUGUAAUCUUUUUUUAUUCGGGUGAUUUCGCUCACGAGAUGCUUACAUGGUACUUGAGGCUUAAGCCUAUGUACCCUGCAUGUUUAUUGAUGUGGUUCAUCAUGCCUUCCUAGCUCCUUUUCAGCUGCCUGCUCAAAGUGAUUGGGCAUGUGAUGUUGUUGACACUGCUGUGUAAAUAAUAUUUCGUGCCCAGCAUCUUAGUUCAGCUGAUGGUUUGCAACUUAUAUCACUUACUUACCUGCUUUAAGUAGGUGAUUUUAAUGCUUUAAGUAGGUGAUUUUAACCUGCUGGAGCCCUCUGUGAUGAAAAAAGUGAACUGUUCAUGCCUUAUUUCAGAAAACUAAAUAUGCGCCAUGCUGAUAUACUUCAUGACGAGCAUGUUUUUGACAUCCAUUAAUGAUGCCCUGUUUUGACUUUUGAGUAGAUGAUUCUUUAUUUAUUAACCUAUACACCAAUAUUGUUUCCAUUGAUCAAUCUCAUAGUACUUUGUGUGUGUUUUUCUUAUCUUGAGCUGAAAACUUAUUGUCAGGUUAAACUAUUUUGUGGAUCAUUUAUAAUAUGGAUGUUCUGUAAAAGAAUAUUUACUGGAAUGUUAUGUAAAACCUAAGGCUCAAAAGGAAAGCUUCGGUAAAUUAGAAUAUUAAUUGAAAUAUUUAGGCGUUUCAUUAAAUUGGUCUGGAAGUCCAAGCUCAUCCAUUUAAUUAUUUGAGAGCAUCAUCAGUAUAGUUUUUUUCCAGAGACACAAUUUUGAGAAAAAAGAUACAUGGCCACCAAAUGAAUGUGUUGCUAUGCCGACUACUGUCCAGUCCAUUUACACUUCUUAUUUUCCUCUCUCCUGGAUUUCACAGGGCUCGAGUCCUAUAUAUAUUCUAAAUGUAUUUAUGCAAUUUUACUCUGCUGCUUGCACAUCCAUGGAUCUGAAAGUAUUGCGGGAGCUCCCAUGAUGGACUAUGAUGAAAAAGUAUUUCUUGUUGCCUGUUCUGUUGUGGUGCAAGUGUACCAUGAUGGACUAUGAUGAAAAAGUAGAGAGGGGCAUUGCCCGCUCUACUUCUUGCUCCAGUCAAGGACCUAAGCUCCUGCUGAUGCAGAUGUCCUGUAUUUGAUGGCCCUCCUAUGCCCUGCUCCUCUCGCAUUGGUGCAAAUUCGCUUCCUCCCCCGCCUCCGUCUCCACGUGUGCAGCGAUGACCCCGGGAGGAGCUCGAGCCGCAGCGGUGGUCCAUGGUUCCGUCGCCUUCGUCCUCGGCAGGAGAAGCGUGGGCUGCAGAGGAUUCGUCCGACCCUCGCGCUGCCGUCUGUCCACCCUUGAGGAUAAUGUGUUUGUUCCGCUGAUCUGUACAGUUUCAAUACCGAGUUGUUAAGGAGAAUGUUGAUGAUGCAUAUUCUACGACUUGCAGACCCCCCAACAGCAAAUUCAGUCCUACGUCUUUGAUGGUGAAGCGUGAAGAGCUACUUGAAUACACGUGCAAUGUCAUUUCAUGUCAUUUCAGGACUUGAGAGAAAUGCUGAUAUUAUGAGAAACAUUUACAAGGAUGGCCGACAGUGUGCGGCACUGACCUAGAUGGCGUGCCGCAUCAUUUCGGCCCAACCCCAAUGUUUCCCUCGCCACCCACGGCCAGAUGGCAAGUACCCGCAAAUCUCACACUGCCACCGGGGUGCUCUGCCUCCACCUAUUUGCUUAUUGUGGUGCGCCCUGUAGGUCGAAGACAUCCCGACAGAGCAGCACAUGCCUGUCCCUUCUUUCAUUGGCGGUGCGAGAAAGAGGAUCCACCCGCUCCCUUAUGCUGAUCUGAGCCUUCCUUGUGAGUUGGUUCCAAUUUUUUUACUGACUAUAUCUUCUACUUUUUGCUUUGUGAAUCCUAUGAAAUGGUGUAAGUGAAUGCAUUAUGGUUAUUGUGUAUCAUAUCAACAGACAUAUGUUCGUUCAUUAUAAGUGCAAAUUGUGGUUGGAUCAUGUUAAGAACUUAUGUCUGCUGUAAUUGAUUUUGGUGAAGAACAACAACUGCAUUUUUUUUCUCUAGCUUGUGAACGUUGAACACUUUGGUCUUCCUGUUGGUGCUUCUUUCUCAUGUGUGUACGUGUUAUAUUUAUGAAUUUUCUAUGGGUUUCAAGUGGUUGUGAUCUAUACUUUGAAGAUCCAUGAACUGGACUAGGCUUUCUGAAUUCUGAUAGAAUGAGAAGCCUGCGGUCAAUAUCUAAAUGUUCCUCUGCCAUCACAGCUUGAGUUAAUAUAUAAGGAUUUGGAUUUUGUUUACGAUGUUUUAACUCUGAUGUGGUAAAGAUGAUGAAACCAGCACUUUUAGUUGAGUGAAAUCUAAGAAAACAAUUACAUCGAGGUGUUGCAUGUAUGAUGUAUGUCAGUUCAUGUUCUUCAGAAUUUAAGUGUUUCGGAUGAUCAUGCCAUGUUUCUAUGGAUUGCCAUUUUGUCCAACGAGAGCAGUGAAACAUCAAAUUUAGUUAACCAUCUCAUAUUUGCAUUUGCUUUGUGAUGUUUCCGUUCUACCUACAAUAUUUGAAAUAAGAUAUUGUAUUGCUCACUGGGAACAAGCAUCACUUUCUUGGAAUAUCUUUAUCUUCCUUGAGUUUUUAAGUGAGUUUGUGCUACGCUGCCAAGGAGCUCCAGCAAGCAUGUGUACCUGCUCUCCUUGCCCCUGAGCUCCUGUACCGGCAACAGCAACUCGUAGCAGAACCAGAAGCAUUACACUGAGGCGCUCAGAAGAAACCCAAAGGAUCCAAAGGUAUACGGCAACACGGCUGCCUGUUACACAAGACGGGUGCCAUGCCUGAAGUACUGAAGGAUACUGAGAAGUGCAUCGAGCUAGAUACCACAUUCUACAAGGGAUACACAAGGAAGGAUGCAACCCUGUUUGUUUCUAAAGAAUGCGACAAAGCAAUGGAACGAGCGUGCCUGAGUGGUAUGUCUAUUCUUGCAAACCCUUUACACAUGGAAGACAUGCUGUUAGGGCCUCUUUAAAAAGUGGUUACUGUUUCAACAAUGCAUGUAGUGCCUUCGCUCAUUAAUGCUUGCCUUCUACCAUACAUGUCAACUGAUACAUUUGUUCAUGUCUACGUCUUGGUGUAAAAACAAAUAUUGUUGUUUGCCCUAACAAGAAUAUUAGCUCGAAUAAGUCCAGACAUAUACCACCUGAAAAGGCUCAGGCUCUUUAUGUGUUUAUUUACUGAACAUUACAAAUUCAAAUUAGAUGUUCAAAUUCUUUACACCACAGCUGCCAACAGCAUGUUUCAGUGCACAUGUGUGCUAGCAAAUGGGCUUAAAAUCAAAAAGGUGAGGGUCUCGGUUUACUGGGCCUCCUGAUUUAUCCACACAGACAGAUGUUGAUGCCUUAACCCUAUCCAUCCACCCUCCACAACAACAGCCGGCCUUCAAUUGCUCACCAACCGAAAGGACGAAAUAAUCAACUAUUUUAGCAGCAGCUGGCCCAAUAGCCUUAGUGGAGAACGCAUGGCAGCAAAGGAAUUUUAUCGCAUAAUAGAUACAAACUUCAGAGCUGGCUCAACAUCCAAAGACAACAAUCUCAAUCAUGUUUUAUCACAGGUAACAUAUGUUCCUGACUGUCUUAGCGAUAUAACAACACAGUCUGAAUAUGAUCUCCAGCAAACAAACAAACCACUAUUAUUGGAGCCUGGACAAUGAUAUCGAAGGAAUUUUUGCUCUGAGCAAUGCAGUCCACGAAGAAUAGCAGUUAUGAAGAGUUUCCUCAAAGAAGUCGUUCUAAACGUCCAGCGAUACAUCUGUCUAACGUAUCUCUGCCUAUCUACAUUCCUUGCUUAUAACAUUGUAAAUGAUCGUUCGUAAGGUUCUUAGAAAACAUGUAUCAUCAGCAACCAUCUAUUUAUCAUCAAUCCAUACUUAUUUCCAUAUGUUUCAUUAUGUGUCUACAUAUUUUGAUGCACAC